UCCUACGGGAGGCAGCAGUGGGGAAUAUUGCACAAUGGGCGCAAGCCUGAUGCAGCCAUGCCGCGUGUAUGAAGAAGGCCUUCGGGUUGUAAAGCACUUUCAGCAGUGAGGAAGGUUCAUGCGUUAAUAGCGUAUGGAUUUGACGUUAGCUGCAGAAGAAGCACCGGCUAACUCCGUGCCAGCAGCCGCGGUAAUACGGAGGGUGCGAGCGUUAAUCGGAAUUACUGGGCGUAAAGCGCAUGCAGGUGGUUUGUUAAGUCAGAUGUGAAAGCCCGGGGCUCAACCUCGGAAUUGCAUUUGAAACUGGCAGACUAGAGUACUGUAGAGGGGGGUAGAAUUUCAGGUGUAGCGGUGAAAUGCGUAGAGAUCUGAAGGAAUACCGGUGGCGAAGGCGGCCCCCUGGACAGAUACUGACACUCAGAUGCGAAAGCGUGGGGAGCAAACAGGAUUAGAUACCCUGGUAGUCCACGCCGUAAACGAUGUCUACUUGGAGGUUGUGGCCUUGAGCCGUGGCUUUCGGAGCUAACGCGUUAAGUAGACCGCCUGGGGAGUACGGUCGCAAGAUUAAAACUCAAAUGAAUUGACG
rnacentral:rRNA from 1 species